UACGAAGGGGGCUAGCGUUGUUCGGAAUUACUGGGCGUAAAGCGCGUGUAGGCGGGUCUGUAAGUCAGGGGGUAAAUGCCAGGGCUCAACCUUGGAACUGCCUUUGAUACUGGAGACCUUGAGUCCGGGAGAGGUGAGUGGAAUUGCGAGUGUAGAGGUGAAAUUCGUAGAUAUUCGCAAGAACACCAGUGGCGAAGGCGGCUCACUGGCCCGGAACUGACGCUGAGACGCGAAAGCGUGGGGAGCAAACAGG
rnacentral:rRNA from 1 species